GACGAACGCUGGCGGCGUGCUUAACACAUGCAAGUCGAACGGUGAAGCCCUUCGGGGUGGAUCAGUGGCGAACGGGUGAGUAACACGUGAGCAACCUGCCCCUGGCUCUGGGACAACCACUGGAAACGGUGGCUAAUACCGGAUACGACCCGCCUCGGCAUCGAGUGUGGGUGGAAAGUUUUUCGGCUGGGGAUGGGCUCGCGGCCUAUCAGCUUGUUGGUGAGGUGAAGGCUCACCAAGGCGACGACGGGUAGCCGGCCUGAGAGGGCGACCGGCCACACUGGGACUGAGACACGGCCCAGACUCCUACGGGAGGCAGCAGUGGGGAAUAUUGCACAAUGGGCGAAAGCCUGAUGCAGCGACGCCGCGUGAGGGAUGACGGCCUUCGGGUUGUAAACCUCUUUCAGCUCCGAAGAAGCGAAAGUGACGGUAGGAGCAGAAGAAGCACCGGCUAACUACGUG
rnacentral:rRNA from 1 species